AAAUGAAGCUUAGUCCAAUCCAGGAUGGCUCUUGCUAUGCUUCGCUGUGAUUUUUCUCCUGCAGGUACGGCAGUCAAGAGAUCACUUGCACUUCAAGACUACAAAGAAAUAGGUCAGGAAAAGUAAGUUGGCCUCUGAGGAUGCCUGCCAUAGAUGUGGGUGAAAUGUCAGGAGAGAAUACUUCUGGGACAUGGCCACACAGCCCGAAAGACAUACAACAACCCUUUUUCAAAGUGUUUGACUCUGAAAGAAGAACUAGACAGCAGAACAGAAUGUAAUAUACUCUCUCUUUAUAUGAAGUGCUUUACCUGCACCAGAAAAAUCCAAGUAAAAGUGCCAUGUACUAACAGAGGUAUUCCUACCUAUCAGUUGUAGGGACUGCCUACAUCCCUUGAAGGCAUCAGAUCUUGUCUGAUCUUGGAAUCUAAGGGUCAAGCCUGGUUGACCCCGAGGGGAAUACCACUUGCUGUGGCCUAUAUUUCAGAGAAAUAGUAACAGCAAACCUUAAGUAUUCCUUGCCUAAGAAAAUUCUAUGAAAUAAAUGGGGACUUGAAUAAGGUAUGUGACAUGCACCCUGUGAGUUUCAUAUCUGUAUGUACCUAUAUAUAUGACUGGCACAUAGUUAGGUAAUUUGCAUGGGCAAUCUUUCUUAAUAGUAAAAGGAAAGGGUUUUUUUUUUACUCAUUGUACCAUAAUCCCACGCAGAAUACACUAUCAACUAAUCAGAGUUUUGUCUACUUUUACUGUGGCCCCUAACCUGCCCAAUGAUCUUUUUGCUUUUAGCAUUCUUUUUUUUUCUAAUUUGGUAUUUUAACAAACAGAGCAUUGUGUAUUUUGAAAGUUCAUAUGGCGCUGCUGGUUUGCAACCUGCUGUUUCUUUCUUCAUUUUCUGACAAAGCACUGUGGCUGGCAUCUUGUUAGGCAGCUAGACUUGUAAGAUAGAUUUCAGUGCUCAUAACUGUUUCAUAUUACAGUAGAGUCUCGCUUAUCCAACAUAAACGGGCCGGCAGAACGUUUGAUAAGCAAAUAUGUUGGAUAAUAAGGAGAGAUUAAGGAAAAGCCUAUUAAACAUUAAAUUAGGUUAUGAUUUUACACAUUAAGCACCAAAACAUCAUGUUAUACAACAAAUUUGACAGAAAAAGUAGUUAAAUACGCAGUAAUGCUACAUAGUAAUUACUGUAUUUACGAAUUUAGCACCAAAAUAUCAUGAUGUAUUAAAAACAUUGACUACAAAAAUGCGCUGGAUAAUCCAAAACGUUGGAUAAGCGAGUGUUGGAUAAGUGAGACUCUACUGUAUGUUUACAAUUAGACCAUCACUGCCACAACUGUAAAAACUCUUGUGGAGAGAGGGCAGGUUAUAAAUAAAGCAUUAUUAUUAUUAUUAUUAUUAUUAUUAUUAUUAUUAUUAUUAUUAUUCAUAUGAUGUAAUAAUAUUUUCCUAGGCUCAGAAAGGAUUAUCUUGCAUGUGAUAUGUAACUAACUACAGUGUCUUAGCUAUGCUUUGUUUCCUGAUCUCACUCCCUAAAACUCACUAGAGUCAGGCUGUCAUACUGAAAGGAGGAGUUUUGUGGUGCUAGUGAGCAUGGCUCACUAGCGAGAAGAAGAUGAACACAUCAUCUUUCAGUACCUCAUUUCUUAGUGCCAUAAUUAAGAUAAUGAUGAUUAUGAUAUGUGUUUUACAAUAAUAGGUCUCAAAUCAUAUGAAAUUGUUUUCUUUUCACUGUUAUAAGCACCAGAUGGACAUGUAUAUUUGUUAUAUGCCUUCAAGUCAUUCUUAUGGGGCCCCGCCCCUAUCAGGGUUUUUUCUAAGGCUGAGAGUGUGACUUGCCAAAGACCAUGCAGUGAGUUUCCAGAAGUGAGAAGGGAUUUAAACCUUGGUCACCAAAGUUGCAUUUAAAUCUUUAUACCAUGCUGGCUUCCAACAUGCUGUGUACAUAGAUGGAAUUAUGUAAAGAAUGGUAUUUUUAAUAAUACAAUAAUAAUAAAUUAUAAAUAUUAUUAUUAUAAUGAUUAUGCUAUAAAUAGAUGUUAUAAUGAAAUAAAAUUGUACAUAUCCUUCUGUAAUUUCAUUUUGCUAUAAUAUUUAGAUAUAUAAUAUAAUAGUUGUUGCCUUCAAGUGAUUUCUGACUUAUAGUGACCCUAAAGAAAAUCUAUCACAGGCAUGAGCAAACUUUGCUCCUCUGGGUAUUUUGGACUACAGCUCCCGUGAUUCCUAAUAGCCUACUGUUAGGAAUUGUGGGAGUUAUUUUACAUAACAUCAUCUAUGUACACAACAUUUUAUAAGUAACUAGCUUUGCCCGGCCACGCGUUGCUGUGGCUUAUGGGAAUUAUUUGUUGGCCAGGUGGAAUAGGAGUGAAUAGCCUUGCAGCGUGAAAGUCUGGCCGUUUUGUGGAGUGGUUGGAGUCAAAGCAUUAAUCAAAGAGGCGCUUUGAAGUGUGGGUACUUCCUUAGUAGGGGAAUUCUUGUUUGGCCAGACUGAAUGGUAUUGAAUAGGUUUGUAGGUUAAAAGCCUGGUCGUUUUGCACAUAAGGUAUUGUUGCUAGGCGAGGUUGAAUGGGACAGAGUAGUGUUGUGGUUUCAAAGUUUGGGGGUUUUGUAUGUAGGGGAAAUGUUGGUUGGCCUGGUUGAAAAGUAUUGAAUAGCCUUGAUGGUUGUAAGCCUGGUGGGUUUUUACCUUGCGGAAUCCUUGGUUGGUCAGUUUGAAUAGGAAUUAAUAGUGUCGGUUUGGGAGGUUUGAAUGGUGGAAUUAGCCACCUUGAUUAGUUUUUAAUGGCCUUGCAGGUUGAAAGGGUGUUUGUUUACUGUCUGGAGGAAUGUUUUGUUGGGAAGUGUUAGCUGGCCCUGAUUGUUUCGUUUGUAGAAUUCCCAAUUUCCCUGCUUUCUGAGUGUUGGUCUUUAUUUCGUCUCCUGGUUUUAGAGAUCAUAUUGUUUUCUAUUAUUAUACCAUAGUAAGUCUUAUAUAUUAUAUUGAUAAUGUUGUAUUAGGUGGUUAGAAUUGGAUUAUAUGAGGUCAGUUGUACACAGUUGUAUAAAAUGUAGACUGAACUGGAUUAGAUCGCAGUGUAGAGUGAAGGCGAUGUCAUAGAGGAAUAUUAUUUAGAAUGCCAAGGUAGAUAAUCCAGUUGAAAGGAGAUAUUGGCAGAUGUGCCUUGGUAUUCUGGGUAAUAUUGUUGUGUGGCAGGAGUUUGAGUGUAGACUGCCACAUAAUGGAGUUGAAAUCAGAUAAUCUGUAUUUUCUAGGGACAGUAGUAUGGAUGAGGUCUAAAUGCAGUUUGUCUGUGCCCUGGGAUACAGGCGUGGGCCAACUUGGGCCUUUGCUGCAGGUGGUUUGGACUUCAACUCCCAGCAUUCGUAACAGCCUGAGUCCCUUUUGUUUUUUUUCUCUCAGAAGCUUAAGGUGUUAGGAAUGUUGAAAGUUGAAGUUGAAAACAGCUGGGUGAAGAGUACCUGGUCGCCUGUUGUGGUUGUUGCUGUUGUGAUUGUGUUGUUAGUGUAAUUAUGUUGUAUCUUACUUGAGGUGGGGAUGAUUGAUUGUGUUGGCAAUUUUUGAGUUUGGAGGGUUUGGGGUUUUGUUGUUUUGUGAGUCUCCGUGAUGCCAAAAGCCUUUUAUAUAUAUAGACAGUGCACUGAAGGAGACAGUAACUUCUUAGAAUUGUAUUUAACAUACCACCUAGCUGGCUUCUCAUGUUAAUUUUCACAAUCAAAUCAUUGAGCUUAACUAGCAUUUGACACUACAUUUUAUUAAUACAACUUCAGCAUAUAACACCGUUUUAAGUAAAAUUUGAUGAAAAUUUUAUUCCUUUGUUUCUCACCGUCACCAAAUAAAACUUCCCAGUCUUGUUGCCAAUACAGUAGAGUCUCACUUAUCCAAGCUAAAUGGGCCGGCAGAAUCUUGGAUAAGCGAAUAUCUUGGAUAAUAAGGAGGUAUUAAAGAAAAGCCUAUUAAACAUCAAAUUAGAUUAUGAUUUUACAAAUUAAGCACCAAAACAUCAUGUUAUACAACAAAUUUGACAGAAAAGUAGUUCAAUAGGCAGUAAUGUUAUGUUGUAAUUACUGUAUUUACAAAUUUAGCACCAAAAUAUCACGCUAUAUUGAAAACAUUGACUACAAAAAUGCAUUGGAUAAUCCAGGACCUUGGAUAAGCGAGUCUAGGAUAAGUGAGAGACUACUGUAUUUUAAAAUAUUAGCUGGCUCAUGUUUUGAUAAAUUAAAAGUACUAUCUAAACAAGUAUCGGCAAGAAAACUCAGUAACAGGUUGCCUUAAAGUAACUAUUACUCAGAAAUGACUGGAAGGCACAAAAUAACAAAUCAAGUCAGAACUGGAUUUUAAUCUUUUUCUGGUUAAAAUGGGUUCUGAGGAUAACCACAGAGAUAUCAAAAGUGAGAUUAUUUCAUUAGCCAGAUGGUUAUCCACCCUGCUGAGUCUUAAGGAAGUAAACAAAUCACCAAAAUCAAAGAUAAAGGCCCCAAAUCUGUUUCAUGGGAUUGGCAUUAUCAAUAUGAAAAUGAACAGAAACUCUAUUCUAUUCAGUCAUCAUUCUUGAGUUUAGUAAAUACAUGGUUUGUUAAAUCUACAACCUUAUGGCCUUAAAACAGUAAACAUAUUACCUAUUGACUCCUUUACUUUGCAAAUAUAUUGUUGCUCAUGAACUUUUAUUGAAGAGCUCAGAUACUUGCCGAGUUCCUCUUUUCUCUCCAAAUCCUCCACUAAUACUAUCCAGUACUAAGUCACACUGGGCAGGCUGAGGGAUUUCAGAGAAAGGAGAGAGAAAGCAGCAAGAAGCUAUUAAUUCUCUUCUGCCACUAGUUAUUAUCACAUAAUUACAAUUUGGGGCCAGCAUGGUAUAGCUGCUGGAGCUUUGAACUGCAACUUUAGAAACUAAGAUUCGCAUCCUCACUUAGCUAUCAUACUCUCAAAGGAAGGCAAGGGGAUAACCUCUCUGAACAGAUCUCGCCAAGAAAAUCCCACAAUGAAUUUGCCUUAGUGCCACCGUAAGUCACAAAUGACAAAGAUACACAAAAACAAGAAUGUCUUGCAAUUUCAAGAUAUCUUGCCAUUUCUUAAAUGACUUAAUAUCUACCUUUGUGUGGGUAUGCUACCACAUAACACCAAGAAGGCAAAAGCCAUACAAGCGAAACAUCCUCGAGUCGAUGAUGAUGAUGAUGAUGAUGAUGAUGAUGAUGAUGAUGAGUUUAUUGCCUACCUCUCCCUGAGGCUCUUGGUAAGAUACAUCAUUGAAACAAGAAAUAAAACACUAUUAAAAGACAUACCACAAAAUACACAGAGUUAAAAUACAAAUUAAAACCCACUGAUAAUAAUAAUAAUAAUAAUAAUAAUAAUAAUAAUAAUAAUAAUAAUAAUAAUAAUAAUGACUUGGCCCAUUAAGCCCCCUUCCACACAGCUGAAUAAAAUCCCACAUUUUCUGCUUUGAACUGAAAUACAUGGGAGUGUGAACUCAGAAUUAACCCAGUUCAAAGCAGAUAUUGUGGGGUUUUCUGCCUUCAUAUUCUGGGUUAUAAGGAUGUUGAAGGACCCUAGAUCAGAUCUGGAAAUCACAGGCUUGUCAGGGGCCACCCUAAAGGCACCAGAUUCAUCUGAUCUUGGAAAACAAGCAGAGUCAGUCCUGGUUAGUACUUGGCUAGGAGAUGAAUACCAGGUGCUGUAGGCUAUUUUUGGGAGAAAAGAACUGGCAAAAUCACUCUGAGUAUUCCUUGCCUAAGAAAACCCUUUGAAAUUCAUGGAAUUGCCAUAAGUAGGCAGGCAUCUUAAAGGCACAAAUACACAUACAACCACCAAACCCAGUGGAAAGCAAUGAUGGUGGUACAGUCAAUGUGUUUGCUCCAGAAAGAGGAAAUCAAGCACCUGCCCAUCGCAAGGCUGUCCACUCUCAUUCCGUUCAUUGAGAUAGAACAAAAAGUAGACAAUUUUGCAAUAACUGAAAAUAUUAUUUACUAAGAAAAACAAACGCUGGGAAUAAAGUGGGAUUUGAGCAAGCCUGAGCAGAGGGUUUUAGACUCUAGUUUAUUUCUUUAAGUACACAUUAAGCCAUUUUAUUAACUAGUUUCCCACAAAUCUUUUGUAGGAUUUCUUAUCUCUAUUAAGCACAAUUCCCUCUUCUUGAGAGGAGCAAUGGACGGCCCUGCUAGACGAUUUGAGAACUUUGUCUACAUACUUCAACUACCGUAUGCUUUCCAAAAACUAAUUGAACAAACCUUAUCGAGAACUCUGAAAUACUCCUGUUUUGUGCCCCACAUUGCAAUUUGUAUGCCGCCCUGAAUCCCCUGCAAGGGUGAGAAGAGUGGGAUAGUAAACAAAAUAAUAAAUACUAUAUAUAUAUCCGGGCUGUGUGUAUAAAGCAUACCGUGAAACAUAAAAUACAUUUUGUAUGUGAACUUUGGGCCUCAUCUCCAAGAAAUCUCCAUAGGGAUAGAAAUAAAGUAAAUAAAAUAAUAAAAAAUAAAUACAUUAUAUAUAUUGA